rfam:Ovis aries breed Texel chromosome 12, whole genome shotgun sequence.
UCCCUGGUGGCUCAGAUGGUAAAGCGUCUGUCUACAAUGCAGGAGACCCAGGUUUGAUCCCUGGGUUGGGAA